rnacentral:misc_RNA from 1 species
AAAAAGAACACUCACAUAGCACAUUUAGAAACCAUAAGUACCACUGUUUGUGAGAUAAUCAUUACCAAGAUAUGUAUAAUCCAGAUACAAAUGACACCAUAAUCAUGCUUCUGCUAGUUUUAAUCGUGGGACAAUGUUCAUUGACUGGAGCUCUUGAAAUAGGAGUUUGCAUGCAUAAGGCAACUUCAUCGUAGAUAUAUUUUCCCCGUUCUUGCACAUAGAACAAAUGCCAGUCUUCAGCUUGUAGUUGUAAUAUCCCAAUAAACCACAUUUUCUGCAAACUUGAACCUCAAAUGGGUCACUAGAAAUCAUCAGGCGCUCGUAUAUCAACAUACUGGCACCAUAUGCAAUCAAACAAUCACGUUCCAUU